UACGUAGGGGGCAAGCGUUGUUCGGAAUUACUGGGCGUAAAGGGUUUGUAGGUGGCCAACUAAGUCAGACGUGAAAUCCCUCAGCUUAACUGGGGAACUGCGUCUGAUACUGGUUGGCUUGAGUGCAGGAGAGGAACGCGGAAUUCCAGGUGUAGCGGUGAAAUGCGUAGAUAUCUGGAGGAACACCGGUGGCGAAGGCGGCGUUCUGGACUGCAACUGACACUGAGAAACGAAAGCCAGGGUAGCAAACGGG
rnacentral:rRNA from 1 species